ensembl:misc_RNA Metazoa_SRP Metazoan signal recognition particle RNA
GUUGGUGUGGUGGUGCAUGCCCAUAGUCCCAGCUACUCGGGAGGCUGAGACAGGAGGAUAUUUUGAGUCUAGGAGUUCUGGACUGUAGUGAGCUAUGCCAAUUGGGUAUCUGUUCUAAGUUUAGCAUCAAUGUGGUGACCUCCUGGGAAUGGGGGACCACCAGGUUUCCUAAGGAGGGGUGAACCGGCCCAGGUCGGAAAUGGAGCAGGUCAAAACUCUUGUGCUGAUCAGGUAUGGCUCCUGGCUUCUUAUUUUUUAUAUGUGUAUUUUCAU